rnacentral:rRNA from 1 species
AUGGCCAAGGGAAAAGAUGUUAGAAUCAGAGUUAUUUUGGAAUACAUCAGUUGUGUUCAAAAAGGUGCCAAUGAGGAAUCGACGGGGAUUUCUAGAUACAGUACUCAAAAGAAUCGCCACAAUACACCCGGACAAUUAGAAUUCAAAAAUUUUUGUCGUUAUUGUCGCAAGCAUAUGACUCAUCACGAAAUAAAGAAAUAG